AGAGUUUGAUCCUGGCUCAGGACGAACGCUGGCGGCGCGCCUAACACAUGCAAGUCGAACGAGCGAGAGAGAGCUUGCUUUCUCGAGCGAGUGGCGAACGGGUGAGUAACGCGUGGGGAACCUGCCUCAAAGAGGGGGACAACAGUUGGAAACGACCGCUAAUACCGCAUAAGCCCACGGGUCGGCAUCGACCAGAGGGAAAAGGAGCAAUCCGCUUUGAGAUGGCCUCGCGUCCGAUUAGCUAGUUGGUGAGGUAACGGCCCACCAAGGCGACGAUCGGUAGCCGGACUGAGAGGUUGAACGGCCACAUUGGGACUGAGACACGGCCCAGACUCCUACGGGAGGCAGCAGUGGGGAAUAUUGCACAAUGGGGGAAACCCUGAUGCAGCGACGCCGCGUGGAGGAAGAAGGUCUUCGGAUUGUAAACUCCUGUUGUUGAGGAAGAUAAUGACGGUACUCAACAAGGAAGUGACGGCUAACUACGUGCCAGCAGCCGCGGUAAAACGUAGGUCACAAGCGUUGUCCGGAAUUACUGGGUGUAAAGGGAGCGCAGGCGGGAAGACAAGUUGGAAGUGAAAUCCAUGGGCUUAACCCAUGAACUGCUUUCAAAACUGUUUUUCUUGAGUAGUGCAGAGGUAGGCGGAAUUCCCGGUGUAGCGGUGGAAUGCGUAGAUAUCGGGAGGAACACCAGUGGCGAAGGCGGCCUACUGGGCACCAACUGACGCUGAGGCUCGAAAGUGUGGGUAGCAAACAGGAUUAGAUACCCUGGUAGUCCACACUGUAAACGAUGAUUACUAGGUGUUGGAGGAUUGACCCCUUCAGUGCCGCAGUUAACACAAUAAGUAAUCCACCUGGGGAGUACGACCGCAAGGUUGAAACUCAAAGGAAUUGACGGGGGCCCGCACAAGCAGUGGAGUAUGUGGUUUAAUUCGACGCAACGCGAAGAACCUUACCAAGUCUUGACAUCCGUUGACCGCUGUAGAAAUACAGUUUUCCUUCGGGACAGCGAGACAGGUGGUGCAUGGUUGUCGUCAGCUCGUGUCGUGAGAUGUUGGGUUAAGUCCCGCAACGAGCGCAACCCUUAUGGUCAGUUACUACGCAAGAGGACUCUGGCCAGACUGCCGUUGACAAAACGGAGGAAGGUGGGGAUGACGUCAAAUCAUCAUGCCCCUUAUGAUUUGGGCUACACACGUGCUACAAUGGCAGUUACAAAGAGAAGCAAACCUGUGAAGGCGAGCAAACCUCAAAAAGGCUGUCUCAGUUCGGAUUGUAGUCUGCAACUCGACUACAUGAAGCUGGAAUCGCUAGUAAUCGCAGAUCAGCAUGCUGCGGUGAAUACGUUCCCGGGUCUUGUACACACCGCCCGUCACACCAUGGGAGUCGGUAACGCCCGAAGUCAGUGACCCAACCGCAAGGAGGGAGCUGCCGAAGGCAGGAUCGAUAACUGGGGUGAAGUCGUAACAAGGUA
rnacentral:rRNA from 1 species